rnacentral:rRNA from 1 species
UACGUAGGGGGCAAGCGUUGUCCGGAAUCAUUGGGCGUAAAGGGCGCGUAGGCGGCUUCGCAAGUGGUGGGUGAAAUCCCUCGGCUUAACCGACGGACUGCCCUCCAAACUGCGUUGCUUGAGUCCGGGAGAGGUGAGUGGAAUUCCCAGUGUAGCGGUGAAAUGCGUAGAUAUUGGGAGGAACGACCAGUGGCGAAGGCGGCUCACUGGACCGGAACGUGACGCUGAGGCGCGAAAGCGUGGGGAGCAAAGCGGG